AACACAUGCAAGUCGAACGGUAACAGUUCCUUCGGGAAGCUGACGAGUGGCGCACGGGUGCGUAACGCGUAUGCAACCUACCUUUAUCAGGGGAAUAGCCCGGAGAAAUUCGGAUUAAUGCCCCAUAGUAUUACUGAUUGGCAUCUAUUAGUAAUUAAAGCUUCGGCGGAUAAAGAUGGGCAUGCGUCCUAUUAGUUAGUUGGUGAGGUAACGGCUCACCAAGACAGCGAUAGGUAGGGGGCCUGAGAGGGUGAUCCCCCACACUGGUACUGAGACACGGACCAGACUCCUACGGGAGGCAGCAGUGAGGAAUAUUGGACAAUGGAGGCAACUCUGAUCCAGCCAUGCCGCGUGCAGGAAGACUGCCCUAUGGGUUGUAAACUGCUUUUAUACAGGAAGAAUAGGACCUACGUGUAGGUAUUUGACGGUACUGUACGAAUAAGGAUCGGCUAACUCCGUGCCAGCAGCCGCGGUAAUACGGAGGAUCCAAGCGUUAUCCGGAAUCAUUGGGUUUAAAGGGUCCGUAGGCGGUCUGAUAAGUCAGAGGUGAAAUCCUGCAGCUCAACUGUAGCAUUGCCUUUGAUACUGUUAGACUUGAGUUAUUGUGAAGUAGUUAGAAUGUGUGGUGUAGCGGUGAAAUGCAUAGAUAUCACACAGAAUACCGAUUGCGAAGGCAGAUUACUAACAAUAUACUGACGCUGAGGGACGAAAGCGUGGGUAGCGAACAGGAUUAGAUACCCUGGUAGUCCACGCCGUAAACGAUGGAUACUAGCUGUUCGAUCAACAUUGGUUGGUUGAGUGGCUAAGCGAAAGUGAUAAGUAUCCCACCUGGGGGAGUACGCUCGCAGAGUGAAACUCAAAGGAAUUGACGGGGGCCCGCACAAGCGGUGGGAGCAUGUGG
rnacentral:rRNA from 1 species